GAUGAACGCUGGCGGCGUGCCUAAUACAUGCCAGUCGAGCGAACAGACGAGGAGCUUGCUCCUCUGACGUUAGCGGCGGACGGGUGAGUAACACGUGGAUCACCUACCUAUAAUACUGGGAUAACUUCGGGAAACCAGUGCUACUACCGGAUAAUAUAUUGAACCGCAUGGUUCAAUAGUGAAUGACGCUUUUGCUGUUUCUUAUAGCCGGAUCUGCGCCGCAUUAGCUAGUUGGUAAGGUAACGGCUUACCAAGGCAACGAUGCGUAGCCGACCUGAGAGGGUGAUCGGCCACACUGGAACUGAGACACGGUCCAGACUCCUACGGGAGGCAGCAGUAGGGAAUCUUCCGCAAUGGGCGCAAGCCUGACGGAGCAACGCCGCGUGAGUGAAGAAGGUCUUCGGAUCGUAAAACUCUGUUAUUAGGGAAGAACAAAUGUGUAAGUAACUAUGCACGUCUUGACGGUACCUAAUCAGAAAGCCACGGCUAACUACGUG
rnacentral:rRNA from 1 species